AGUUGUCCCUGUCUCUUCUUGGAACAAAGCAUCUGUGCAUUGCCCCAGUACAGAGCCACUAAAUAAAUACCUGCAGCUAUAUCUGGACAACACCAGAGCACAGGAGGUGAUGGGAGAGGCAUUAUUUUUUGAUGGUUUGUAGUCUUCCAGAGGCAAAUAGUGUAAACAGAAAUGUUGUAAGCAGGGUUGGUCUCCAGCUGUGACCCAUUUCCCUACAUUGCAUUAGGGCACGCAGCUCAGAAGUAGCAAAUUCAGACUGAGCUCCUUGCUCAGGCAGGAGGGAAUACACAGUAUCACCUCUUUGUCAGGUCAUAAUUUUCCUUUUGUCUUUGGGGGCACAUGGCUAUCCCUUCCAUAACUGAUUCCUUGGAAAGUCUGUCAGCAAGGCUUCAUGGAGNUUUUUUUUUUUAAGGGUUUCACCCAUGGCAUAUGGAAGUUCCAAGGCAAGAGGUUGAGUCGGAGGUGCAGCCACUGGUCUACCCCACAGCCACAGUAAUACCAGAUCCAAGCCGCAUCUGCAACCUACACCAAAGCUCACGGCAAUGCCAGAUCCUUAACCCAUUGAGGGAGGCUGGGGAUUGAACCCGAGUCCUCAGGGAUACUAGCUGGGUUGGUUACCGCUGAGCCACGACACAAACUCCUCACAAAGUAUUUCUUAUUUGCUAUGACCUGCUCUGUCAUCAAUGAGGGUAGAAAUACUCUUCAUGACUGGGGGAGGUAUGCCUGAGCAAGGCAGACUGGAGAAAUUUGAAUAGGCUUCUCUCUAGAGGCCCUCAUUCCAUUUUUUUCCCCCAUUGGUCACACAUGAUAGUGGCCCCAAAGGUUGAAGUAUGACAUUUCACAUCCAAGAAAACAGAGAACAAAGACAGCUCCCCUCUUUUGCUGCCCAGACUCUUCUUCCAAGACUUGAUUACUCCAAGACAAUAAAAUGCCCUUCUGGAAACAGGCUAAGUGGGUUUUUGCUGGUAUGAGUUUUUGUUUCGUUUUACUGAAGUUUUAUUCUGCUGCUGUGGAGACCUGGCUUGAGGGUAUUGGAUAAAUGCUAAAUAAUAAUCGGGCUGAGGGAAAGAAAUGGAUUUCCCAGCAUAGUGGGUCUAAAGAGAACAGGCUUAAUUAUCGAUUCUCAUUCCUGCCUUGUUCACACCUCGGCUCACAUUCAAAUAACUUGAGGGAGAAAAUAGUUCAGAAUCUAGUAAAGCAGAAACUAUUCUAAGGCUGUUAGAGUGUCAAUUCCAUCUUUCCUUUAAUUUGGGAAUGCGUUUUUAUGCUGUUGUACUAGAUCAAUAAAGAAAAUACAGGAAGAAAGUUUACCGAUAUAUAGUCUAGUGACUGGAGUUGUGGCUUGCCAGAUGGAAGAUUAGGCGCAAGAGGAAUCAAGGCACCUGGCCCAUGAGAAGUUCUGAGGCCACCUUUCUAUAGGAUUUUCAGUUUAGAAAUGUAUACUUUUAACCACCAAUUGAAACUUCAGGAAAUCUUUGGGGAGGUGGCAUAGCAUGGAUUUUGCUUGGGCAUUUUUUAACAGUGAGUUUUGACUCAUUCUAGCUUUUUGCUAAAGAUAACACAUUAAAAAUAGAUGUCUUUCCAAUUUAUGAAACUAGUUCCAAACUAUCUCAUGAUAUGCAAGGGUCAAAACCAAUGAGUUAAUUUAGAUGGAAAAACAUGUCCGUCCAAUAGACAUAUUACCUUUUCCACUUUCAACAUGAAAUAAUUCAGGCUUUUUGGUGAAAUAAUAAAAAGAAAAAGGCUGAGCCAUAUGAAUAACAGGAGCAUGUUUGUAAUUGUUUCAUAAGCUUGACUUUCAAGAUGUUUCUACAGAAGCACAGUGAAAAUGAGAAUUGAGGCAAUUACACAUUCAAUCUAGAUGUCAGCUGAGGGCCUUCUGUCCUCUGAGACUUAACAUAAAAUUAACUUCAACCACUAUUCUCAUCUUUAAUAAGAAGCUCAAUAUCCUCUCUAAGAUUUUUACACACACCUUAAAUGUAUCUCUUUCUCAUGGUUAUCUGUAUUUUUAAUUAACUAUUCCCAUUGCACUUGCACCUCUCCUCCCAAGACUGUCCUCUUCUUGUUGUGCAGGGCUAACUCACAUGCCCACAAGGUCCCUUUAUUGCCUUGAACUCUAUUCUUAGAAGACAUGUUUAAGUGGCAAAGGGCUAGAAUAUUUCAGCCAUGCACAGAAUUACUCUUAAAAUAAAUCUUGCUGGAAUUCCUCCGGCCACUCCUAUCACCAGGAAGUUCUCAUCCAGCCUUUCUUUCUGGAAUUCUUCCCCUGUCCACCUACACUGCUCUCAACUUGCCUGGCCCUCUCUCCUGCUCUCAGAACGCUUUCCCUCUUUUAACAUUUUGCUCCCUCAAAUCAGUGCUAAUAUUCACACAAAGCAAUUUACCUGUCUCUUCAUUUCCUGGUCUUCUUCCAGAAGGCCAUGUUCUUAGAGCUUCCUCUUUCUCACUGAUGAGCAAGACCCAACAGAAGAACAGAAGGCCAUCCUCUUAGGAAAGAAUCAUGCCACUUCCCUAGGAGACAAAAACAGCAGUUAUUUAUUGCGCUUUUUAAUUUUUUUCCUAUGCUACAUAUAAGCACAGCAGACCACAAAAUCAAGAAUACCUCUAUAUCUAGAUAUUUUAGACCAUUAAGGUAGUGUCAGGUAACAAAUGAUGUUCUAACUCUUCCCUGUAUAUGCCAUGUUUAUGCCCAGCCUCAGACAUACCUCUGUUGGUAACUUGACCCAUGAAAAUGAUACUGAAUUUGAUGUGAGUUCCUAGUAAAUACAAAUUACUAAGCAUGUGAUUCUGUCUCAAAAGAUAAGCAGAUAAAAAUGUAUUGAUAUAGGAUACAACAGGGUGCAGAGUUUUAAUUGACUGGAGAAAGAGAAGAUGUCUCACUCCACCCAGUAAAUAACAUUGAGAUAAGGAACUUUGAGAAAUACUCCAGCCUCUUCCCCAGCCUCAUUCCUAGGACAGCAAACUAACAAAGCAUACACUCUUAGAACCGGGCUUAGGAGUUCCUGUUGUGGUUCAGCAGAAACAAACCUGACUAGUAUCCACGAAGACAUGGGUUUGAUUCCUGGCCCCACUAAGAGGGCUAAGGAACCGGUGUUGCCAUGAGCUAUGGUGUAGGUUGCAGACAAGGCUCAGAUCCCGAGUUGUUGUGGCUGUGGUGGAGGCCAGCAGCUGUAGCUCUGAUUUGACCCUUAACCUGGAAACUUCAACAUGCCAUGGUGCAGCCCUAAAAAAGACAAAAGAAAAAAAGAAGAAGAGGGCUAAGAGGAUAUCAAAGACUGUCUUCCAUGGAAUUCCUUAUAAAACAGUUUAUGAAUUUUCAUUAGAAGAAUGACAAUAGUGUGUUGUAAGAACAUUCAAUAUUAGAAAGUAAGGUGUUUGUGGGUAGAAGACAGUACUAUGUCUUGCACAUAAUGGAAGCUCAACAAAGAAGUUUAAUUUCAUCCCACUCUUCCCAUUACCUCUUACUGAGGUGAAGAUUCUUCUUUUGAACUUCCACUUACUGGACAUGGUUCUACCUACCAACGAAAAAGGAGAAUAUUUGUUCCCUCUUUUACAUGAGAACAUUUCAGAUGCUUAAAGUAGCUACGUGCCUUUCUCUUUUAUAGCUCCUUCAACAUGAUUUUUACAUCCUUUACUAUUCUAAUUUUCCAACUGUAAUUGUGUUUCUUGGCUCCUAGGAUUUUUAAAGGAACCAAGCUCCAAAUUUCGUCCAACUAGCACAUCAUACAGUGAGGAUAGCCUCUACUUUGUACUGACAAUCAAAUUGUUAGCACCACCCAAAUUUGCAUUUGUCUUUUUGGUAGCCACUUCACACCAUCAGCUUCAUCCCAAGAAAUGAAGCCAUCCAAAUGUACAGCUCUGUACAGAGUCUCUCUUUUUUUUUUCUGAUGGAUUAUUUUGAGGCCUAUUUCCCCCAUUCUGCAUUUAAUGCACCACUUCUUUUAAAAUUCCUUCAAACUUUACCCUAUGCUAUUUGUCUCUAUAAGUCCAACCUGUUAAGAUAUUUUAAACUUUUAACUCUUUUUUUUUUUCUUUUUAUGGCUUCAUCAGCAGCAUAUGGAAGUUUCCAGGCUAGGGGUUGAAUUGGAGAUUCACCUGAGGCCUAUGACACAGCCAUGGCAACAUGGGAUCUGAGCUACAUCUACAACCCAUGCCAUAGCUUGUGGCAACACCAGAUCCUUAACGCACUGAGUGAGGCCAGAGGUUGAACCCACAUCCUCACAGACACUAUGUCAUGUUAUUAGCCAGCUGAGUCACAACAGAAACUCAUGGAUUUUUAAUUCUUAUUCAGAAUAGGCUUUACUCCAGCUCUGAUUUAUCAAAAUCCAUGCCUCUUUUUAAAGUUUAUAUGAUGUUAAUGACAAUCAUGAUAAGCUAAGCAGCUGCAGAGUCUUAUGGAAUGCUGUUUUAAAAUGUACCAGGAUUUUUUUCAAUCAAUAUGGUAAGACAUGGAAAUGACUCUCACGAAGGAAGAAGUUGAUGCUCACAGAUCCCUAGAAGGAGGAGGCACAGCAUGCGAGGCAGGGCCACACAAGGAAGCACCAGGUCAUUGAGAGUGAGGGGAAAGCAUGUGUGUGAGACUUGUGCUUUUCAUGUGAAGAAAUGGGAAGGGCAGGUUAAACAGGGCAGACAGGUUUGGGAUCAACUUGUCUGAAAAAUUUCAAUGUGCUCUGGGAUAUAGGGAGGAGGUGUCCAUCUGUCCUGUGCCCAGUCCUGCAGUGAUUUAAGACAGGGCCAUGGAGUUCCCUUUUUGGCUCAACAGUAACGAACCCAACUAGGAUCCAUGAAGAUGCAGGUUUAAUCCCUGGCCUUGCCCAGUGGGUUAAAGAUCAGGCAUUGCCAUAAGCUGUUGUGUAGGCUGGCAUCUAUAAUUCCGAUUUGAGCCCUAACCUGGGAACUUCCAUAUGCCACAGGUGUGGCCC
ensembl:lncRNA